rnacentral:lncRNA from 1 species
CACCCGCUUUUUUCCAGCUUUCUAACAACUUCUUGUUAUUAGGAUGUUGAGCAGGACCACCAGUUGCACGACUUUUGUGCAAAAUAACUAGCGGAAGUUUGUUUGAUUUACUCACCUGUCUUAAUUUAUUAACAACAUUUCUGAGCUGAGAGAAAUUAAAACUUCGUUGAGUAAUCAGGCCAACAUUUGCACCAUCCACCACAGCAUCGAACGGACCGUGCUUCUGAUCUGUCUUAAUUUAUUGACAACAUUUCUUAGCUGAGAGAAAUUAAAACUUCGUUGAGUAAUAAGGCCAACAUUUGCACCAUCCACCACAGAAUCGAACGGACCGUGCUUCUGAAGC